rnacentral:rRNA from 1 species
GGAGGGUGCAAACGUUGUUCGGAAUCACUGGGCGUAAAGGGCGCGCAGGCGGACCUGUAAGUCAGGAGUGAAAACUCGGGGGCUCAACUCCGAGCCUGCUUCUGAAACUGCAAGUCUUGAGGGCCGGAGAGGAGAGUGGAAUUCCUAGUGUAGCGGUGGAAUGCGUAGAUAUUAGGAAGAACACCAGUGGCGAAGGCGACUCUCUGGACGGUUCCUGACGCUGAGGCGCGAAAGCUAGGGGAGCAAACAGGAUUAGAUACCCUGGUAGUCCUAGCCGUAAACGAUGAGUGCUAGGUGGUGGUGGUUUCAACGCCUUCACUGCCGGAGCUAACGCAUUAAGCACUCCGCCUGGGGAGUACGGCCGCAAGGUUG